rnacentral:rRNA from 1 species
AUUGGAGUCGGGUGACGCUUUGCCUGCUAUCUCUUACCCAUGUCUUUUGAGUACCUUACGUUUCCUCGGCGGGUCCGCCCGCCGAUUGGACAAUUUAAACCAUUUGCAGUUGCAAUCAGCGUCUGAAAAAACUUAAUAGUUACAACUUUCAACAACGGAUCUCUUGGUUCUGGCAUCGAUGAAGAACGCAGCGAAAUGCGAUAAGUAGUGUGAAUUGCAGAAUUCAGUGAAUCAUCGAAUCUUUGAACGCACAUUGCGCCCCUUGGUAUUCCAUGGGGCAUGCCUGUUCGAGCGUCAUUUGUACCUUCAAGCUCUGCUUGGUGUUGGGUGUUUGUCUCGCCUCUGCGUGUAGACUCGCCUCAAAACAAUUGGCAGCCGGCGUAUUGAUUUCGGAGCGCAGUACAUCUCGCGCUUUGCACUCAUAACGACGACGUCCAAAAGUACAUUUUUACACUCUUGACCUCGGAUCAGGUAGGGAUACCCGCUGAACUUAAGCAUAUCAAUAAGCCCGGAGGAGGA